rnacentral:lncRNA from 1 species
UCUGAGUCCAAUGGAAUAAGGGGCAGAGCCAGGUUCGAAGUGGAUGCCGUGGCUGAACAUCACGGCUCACUCAGCCGCCCAACAGAGACCAUCUGGAUCUGGUUCUGUUCGUCCACCUGAGACUGCCAUUCACAAGAUGGAUCUUGCAGACUUCAGCACAUCUACAGCAUCGGGAACACCAAACGAUGAUGGCCAGAAGGUGCCAGACUUGCGCGUACCCCACUCAGUUGGAACCCCACUCUGCUCCCACAGGUCGAUAUGUGCCCUCUGAGGAAACACCUUCAAGCAGAACCUCACUUUCUGAUCUUCCUGAAGUCUCAGAAUCCAGAUUACGCACCAUCCCUAUGCGGAAUCAGGACAACCUCCCUCUGAGAAUUCAGAGCCUGCAGGAUGCUUAGUAGGACAUGCCUGGAAUUACACAGAUUAUGCCUCCUUGCAUGGGAGAAGUAGAAAAGUCACAGCAUGGGUUAAAAAUACGCUUGUCU